UAAAGUUCAAACUCUAUUAGGAAUAUAAAAAAAGAGAAAUUUAUUUAUUUUAAUCCAUUUAUAUAAAUGGAUAUCAGAUACCGAAUUCAGAUUACGGGUAUUUUCAAAGGGUUGAAUUCAAACCCGAAACGGAUAUAAAAAUUAUAAACCAAUAUAAUUCCAAAUCCAUUUACAAUUAUCUGAAUUCUUCUCAUUAUAGUUCGAUCGAUGCCUAAAAAAACUUAUCUAGCUACCAUCUCUAUCUUGUAAAAGAAUAAGUCUCCUUUAAAUUUUCGAUUGCAAGAUUUGAGUAUAUUAGAGGCAUUGUUGAUACCAACCAAUAGAAAAGCCCAUUGUCCUAAAUAUAGAUUGAUAAAAAAAAACAAUUCGAAGACCUAUGCCUAAAUCAUUUGAUAUUUUAAGUCAAAUGAGUUUUAAAGCAGGCAAGGUCAUCACCACUAAAGUUGAUUUUGGUUAGUAAAUGAUCUUUUAAAUAUAUAAGGUUAUCAUUAACAGGGCUAAAUUGCCUUCACCAUCACUAGAUUUUGAGGUUAGUAUCAUUAAAGUCUCUGAACUUCAAUUUGUAACACUAAACCUGCUAAAUCUUAAUUUUAGUAUCAAUAAUUCCUUACCGUUAACUUCUGUUAAAUAUCUAAAGAAAAAAUCACGUGUCAGCUCAUUUGUAAAAAAAGAUUCUACAGAAAAAAUCCACCUUAUUUAAAUAGGACAUGUUAGCAACAUGUCCUAUUAAUUCUUCCUCAUCCAAAAAUAAAUAAAAUCAGAAUCAAAAUAACCUAAAAUCAAAUUGAAUAAACCAAAUUUCACACAAAAUCAAAAUCAAAAUCAAAACCUGUGAACUACGGAAUCAAGAGUCCCCUAACUAAAAUCCUAUACGAAAUCAAAAUCAAAAUAAAAAUCUGCAGUUUCACCAUAACUGAAAUCAAAAUCAAAAUCAAAAUAACAAUAACCAAAUCUAUACAAAACCAAAAUUACUCGCCUUAUCACUGCGGUUAUAACCCGCAAGCUCCAACCAGUCACCACCGCACUAGCAACACCCAGCAACCAACAACGUCAACAUUUUCAACUUCACCUCACUAACAACAUCAAUGUUCUCAAUCAGCAACGGCGUCGUGGAGAGCAACAACUAAUAAUGGAUAUUCAAGAGGUGGAAACCCAUCUCCUUUAUUUGUAGGAUUUUAGUUUGGGAGUAAAGAUCAAUAAUACUGGAUGUAUCAAAUGUCAAAAAUAACAGCUUCUCUUCGUUUUUUUGAUUUUAGGAAAAUAUGAAUUUAGGUAAAUUUUAUUUAUUUUAUUUUUUUCUAUUUUAUUAAAAAUGGUUGAUUAACCCAAAAAAAAUCAUGGUAUGUAAUACUAUAGAGAUAGUUGUCUUACUAUUUUAGGUGUUAUAUCUUGUUAGGGUUCUAAAAAUAUAAAGAAGAGAAGAGGAAGAAGAUAUACGAAGGAGAAUGAGAA
rnacentral:lncRNA from 1 species